GCCGGGUGCGAUGAUGCCCGCCUGUAGUCCCAGCUACUGGGGAGGCUGAGGUGGGAGGAUCGCUUGAGCCCAUUUCUGGCCUGUAGUGCGCUAUGCCAAUCAGGUGUCCACACUAAGUUCAGCAUCAACAUGGUGACCUCCCAGGAGCAAGGGACCAGCAGGUUGUCUAAGGAGGGGUGAACUGACCCAGGUCGGAAAUGGAGCAGGUCAAAACUCCCGUGCUGAUCAGUAGUGGGAUCGCACCUGAAUAGCCACUGCACUCCAGCCUGGGCAACAUAGAGACACCAUCUCAA
ensembl:misc_RNA Metazoa_SRP Metazoan signal recognition particle RNA